rnacentral:rRNA from 1 species
CGUUCCCGGGCCUUGUACACACCGCCCGUCAAGUCACGAAAGUUGGUAACACCCGAAGCCGGUGGCCUAACCCCUUGUGGGAGGGAGCUGUCGAAGGUGGGACUGGCGAUUGGGGCU